UACGUAGGGUCCGAGCGUUGUCCGGAAUUAUUGGGCGUAAAGGGCUCGUAGGCGGUUUGUCGCGUCGGGAGUGAAAACUCAGGGCUCAACCCUGAGCGUGCUUCCGAUACGGGCAGACUAGAGGUAUUCAGGGGAGAACGGAAUUCCUGGUGUAGCGGUGGAAUGCGCAGAUAUCAGGAGGAACACCGGUGGCGAAGGCGGUCCUCUGGGAAUUACCUGACGCUGAGGAGCGAAAGCAUGGGGAGCGAACAGG
rnacentral:rRNA from 1 species